rnacentral:rRNA from 1 species
UACGUAGGGUGCAAGCGUUGUCCGGAAUUACUGGGCGUAAAGAGUUCGUAGGCGGUUUGUCACGUCGUUUGUGAAAACUCACAGCUCAACUGUGAGCCUGCAGGCGAUACGGGCAGACUUGAGUACUGCAGGGGAGACUGGAAUUCCUGGUGUAGCGGUGAGAUGCGCAGAUAUCAGGAGGAACACCAAUAGCGAAGGCAGCUCGCUGGGACGUUACUGACACUGAGGCGCGAAAGCGUGGGGAGCGAACAGG